AUACGAAGGGUGCUAGCGUUGUCCGGAAUUACCGGGCGUAAAGAGCAUGUAGGCGGAUUGAUUAGUCAGAGGUGAAAGCCCCGAGCUCAACUUGGGAAUUGCCUUUGAUACUGUCAAUCUAGAGACCGAGAGAGGUGAGUGGAAUUCCCAGUGUAGAGGUGAAAUUCGUAGAUAUUGGGAAGAACACCAGUGGCGAAGGCGGCUCACUGGCUCGGUACUGACGCUGAGAUGCGAAAGCGUGGGGAGCAAACAGGAUUAGAAACCCUAGUAGUCC
rnacentral:rRNA from 1 species